AUGUCAAGGCAUUUAUGUAAAAGCGUAAAUUCCAUUUGCCAAACCACGGGGUGUGCACGAUUGAUGAUAAAUCCUCGCCACACUCACUGUGCUGGUGAAUCCUGGCGCCAGGAUGGGGCUACCUUCCCUGUCCGAGGGUCACCAUGGUUUUUCCAUCCAAGAAUAAAACAACAGACAUGGUGCGGAUACAGACGAAGAAGCUCGUUUGUUUUUCAAGCAGUAUCUGUAAUCUGGAAAGCACCCGAGGAGGGCCUCGUAACUAUGGCAACAGCAUUGCCACAAGGAAAUGGCUCUUCCAGCUCCAGGCGUUCAGGCUGGGAGGUUAACUCCGACAACAAAGCCUUUUCUGUGUUGGAGUGGACCCAGGAAAGCCGAGGGCUCUGUGAUGGCAGCCACGUGAAACCUUCAGGCCCAGGACCUGUGAGGGAAAAAUGUUCAUUUCUGCUGCUGCCUUUCCUGCACCCAGAUCAUCUCUUCAGCCUGGCCGUCCUCGUCACAUCACCGGAAGCACUGGGCUCAUGUACACAUUUUGCCAUUACUCGGAAUCGCUUUCAACGGAGCCCACUAAUCACAUCAGAAAAUGAAUAGCCACACUUUUUUUUGGCCACACCCCCAGCAUGUGGAAGUUCCCAGGCCAGGGACUGAUCCUGGGCCACAGCACAGCAGCUGCAGUGACAACGCUGUAUCCUUCACCCUCUGAACCAUAGACGAAGUCUUCAAAACUUUUUUUUUUUUUGAUUUUUAGAGCCACACCCAUGACAUAUGGAGGUUCUCAGGCUAGGGGUCCAUUUGGAGCUACAGCCGCUGGCUUCCACCCCAGCCACAGCAAUGCAGGAUCCGAGCAGCGUCUGCAAUUACACCAUGGCUCACGGCAACGCCGGAUCCUUAACCCACUGAGCAAGGCCAGGGAUCGAACCCGCAACCUCAUGGUUCCUAGUCGGAUUCGUUUCUGCUAAGCCAUGACAGGAACUCCAUCUUCAAAACUUUUAAUCACGUGUCAUUUGGGGCCCAAAUUACAUUACCCAGACAUACCAUCCGUGCCUUCUUCACCAGACUUGGACGUGUCCUAAGAGAGACUCCCUCUUUCACUAGCGGAGGCAACCAAGACCCCAACAGAGGGAACUGAACCCUCUUCUGAGCAAAGCCGGCGUCGCUGUGGGAAGGUUGGAACCUCCUGAGGUGGCCGCCGUGAGGACAGUUCCCGCUGGGAUGUUGGGGUUCUGACCCCGGACAGUCACAGCCAGCAGCGUUCUGCAGAUGUGAUGCUGUGACCUCGUGACGACUCAUCUCUAGCGGUGACGGGAACAUGGAAUUCCCUGUAGAGACAACUGGGCAUUUUCCCUGGUGCCCGAACCACCCUCCGCUAACAUAAUACAUGAAAGACACUGACUCUCCCGCUUCCUUGCCUGACCCUUGAUUACGAUGGUCUGGGUUUAGUUCUUUGCUUUAAAGAUGAUUUAAACUGGACAUUUUCCAUUAGUAUCUUACAGUUUCCACAAAUAAAGACCUAUAAAAAAAAUUGGAGGCA
rnacentral:lncRNA from 1 species